CCUCCAGUGGCAGGAUAUGAGUCACCGGCAAGGAGGGAUGCCAAUAAGGCAUCCGAUAAGGACUGGAUAUAUAUUGUGCAUUUCAGUGUGUCCUUGAACCAACAGAUAUCUGUCUACCUCUGCCUACCAUGUGGUGGGAUUAAAGGUGUGUUCCACUACUUGAGACUGGCUUUGCUUUCUGAAUCCUCAGGAAUGAUCCCCUGAAUCUAGGUGUUAUGGUUUCAGCAAGAAAUUUUGUUGUGAUGAUCCUUGCAGGAAGAGUGUAGUUUCUUCAGAGCCAAGAGGUCUUCAAAAUCAUGAAAACAACAACAACAACAACAAAACAUCUUGACUCACAGACUUCCUCUGACAGACUAGGCAGAAGGCAAGUGACAGUUCAAAAAAGCUGUAAACCUGAAGCACACUUCGCAGGCUGCAGGCAGCUCAGCAGGUUGAAGACUGCCCUUCCCAGUGCCUCAGUUGCUCUAAACAUUUUUCAGAUUAAACCCAACACCAAGAAGUCCUUGUCGUCACUGGGCUUCAGUGCUUGAAGACACUGAAAUUGUCUAUUCCACUGACCUCCUCCUAGUAUUCCUCACCCAGAUGGAGCUGACUACCAUGGAAAAAUGCAGUUAGCUCCAGAUGCCAAUGGAAUGGACAAUUUAAAGUCUUCAUAGUUCUUCAUCACUGUAAUUCAUCUGAUGGGUCUUCCUUCAAUCAACUGUCAGGCAUUAAUUUCUGUAAAGGUAUUUUGUCAUGAACCAUCCUGAGUGAAGUAAUCCAGACCCCAAAAGCCGAACAUGCUGAGAAUCCCUCCGAAGACUCUCUAGAAGACUGGACCUACCAACGGUCAGCUGUGGACUUGGGAGGAGCUCACAGGUCCCUUCUCUUCCCCACUGCACUCUUCUGAAGGAUUCUUGGCAAGAGCUUCUGUAAUUGCCUGAACAAGACAUGCACAAGCUCAAGUUGAUAAACACAGACAAAGGAGCUGUUCAUUAGGCUCCUUCCCUGGCAGAGAAGCUUUUGGCAAUGGAUGACACCUGGAAGAGCUCCUAGCUCCAAAUCCUUGGAAGUGCCUAUGGAGCAUGAAGUAACCACAGAAACCAGGAAAGUAUAAAGAGAUUAUAGCCAGGGUUUGAGUGAGGGGGUAGUGGGGAUUUAGCUGCCAAAAUCCUGAAGUAGAUGGGGUAGUUUAUCCUCAGGUCCCACCCCUUUCAGAGGAGCUAUAUGUAGUGGAUGGUGUCUGAGGGAGGGACAAUCAUUUAUUUCUGAGGACGCAGCCAUGAGGACAUUUCUCAUGUUCCAAUAGAUGGGUCCAUACCUAUGCAUGUAAGGGCAGCUCUAACUGAAUUUAGAUAUCAAAAAUGGAUUACAUAGAUAGAUGAUGAUGAUAGAUAGAUAGAUAGAUAGAUAGAUAGAUAGAUAGAUAGAUAGAUGGAUGGAUAGAACAAAACAAUUGGGAAGGACAUGAUAUCAUCUAUAGAGGCAUUUGGAGGGAAAUUGAGGGUAUAUAUGAUAUUUAAUUGUGAUAUAUGUAUACAUUUUUCAAAAUGAAAAAAAGAUUAAAAAAAAGCAAUGAAAGCUUUAGACUCAGCCUGGCAUGUUGGGCAUGCUGUAGACUAUGAUGAUAUGGAUAUCAAAAUACCAAUGGAUGGUGUAUGGAUUGAAAAAUCUUACAUAUUUCAACAGUAUAUUUAUUAGCAAUUGAUCUUUAUUACUCCAAAACUAAACUGGAAAAUCAAUUAACAAUAUACAACCAUAGAAAUAUGUAUUUCUCAGAUAAGUACGCAGAAUUAACACAUAUGUUACAUAUGAUAAAUACAAAUGUAAGGUUCCAGUUCAUAUCUGGGGGAGGAAAUACAAGAAAGUAUUUGCAGUCAGCCGGAACCAUAGCAUAACUAAUCAAGUGGAAAUCUCAGUCCCCUGUUUUCUCCACUUCCCAUCUCUUUUCUGGAUAAUGUAUUACAAAGUUGUCCUUUAGUUGGGAGUUGGCUGCAAGAUAUCCAUGAAUAUACAAAGCUCCCUGGAUCCUGAUAACCAUUAUGUAGACUAGUAUUUAGUGUAUGCAUAACGGGAUACACACACACACACACACACACACACACACACACACACACACACGAGUGUGUGGGUGUAUAUAUGUAUGUGUUUCUGUAUUCUUUAGAUUGUCUUUAGGUUAUUCAUAAUGCCUAAUGUAUUCUAAGUGACUCAUGAGAACUUAUACUAUGCUGUAGGAAAAAACUGAUUAAAGCAAAAUUAAUCUGUUCAUUGUGAGUGAAAACACAGUACAUCAGCAACAAUGAAAACAGGAGAAAGAUAAGAAGGAAGACAUUUCAAGGAAAAUAGGUUUUGUGCCCAAGGGAACAUAAAAGUCAUUAUCACAUAUCCACAAUUGCACUUAAGGUUUCUAAAAAGUAUUCAUCAGUAAGUAAAACUGUAUAAUAUGCAUUGGAAAAUAUACUUUACAUUUUUAACCAAAAUUUAAUCUUAAAUGAAAGCAACAGUAACACAAAUAAAACAAACUGGAAUAUGCCCCUAAGUAUUACAAAGACUAAGUUAUAAAUAAAAAGCCCUUGUCUAAUCGUAGUUCAAGCAGUGAAAUAAGAGGAACUCUUAUACAAUCUAAUUAUUCAUUUGCAAUUUACAUCAACUCAAAACUAACUCAAAAUAGAAAUUAGUUCUGCAGAAUGGUGCUAAAAAUAUGGCUCAAUCAUUCAGGUUCUAGAGCCUUAUGUUUAUAGUCUGAAAUUCUCUUGUUAUAUUUUAAAGAAAAUAUAUUUAAGAUGUAUGAAGCAAUGCCAACCAGAUGACAGAUUGGUUAUGUUUGAAAGGAGAAUAUUUGAAGCAGGAGAAAUCUCCUGGUUUAUGGACAGCUUCUCUCUUCCAUAAUUACACACACACACACACACACACACACACACACACACACACACACACACACACGUGUAAACAGACACUUCUCCAAAUACCCAGUUGCAGAAAAAAAAUGACAGGUUGAUACAAUCAGUGAUGAGUAGCUUAGACAUUUUCUCCUUCUAAAUUUGGGUUAAUUUGUUGCAACAAUAAAGACAGAGUGCACUUAGCUGUCUAUAAACAUACCAGGAACUGUGACCUAGGUAUGAUUUGUUUAGGUAUUCAUUUCUACUAUCCAAUGGUCCUGAAUUUAGAAAGUGUUAUAGAUUGAAAUUAUUGUAAUUAUUUUUAUUUUUUAUAUAAAUUUCAUUUAAAUUAGAAACAAUAUAUUUUACAUAGCAAUCACCAGUUCACGAGCCCUCCCAUUCUCCCAUAAGCCCCAACUACUCCCCUAUCCCAUCAUCCCCCAGUCACUCCCCAGGGGUGAGGCCUUCCAUGAGGGAUUAUUAAAAUAUGUCAAGUCAUUUGGGUCAGGGCCUAGGCCUUCCCCUGUGUAUCUAGGCUAAGAGAGUAAUCCCCCAUGGGAAAUGGGCUCCUGGAAGUAUUGUGACCAUUUUUCUCUGUUGUAUUAAUUUGGGAUCAAAGUUUACUAUAAUUAGCUGCCCAAACACAAAGAAUAAACUUUUUAAAAUUGACUUCUACAAAUUCUAUUGAUACUAAACACACAAUCUCCAAGAUUGUGUUGUAUCCUGAAGACAUCUUGCCUCCUACCUUCCCAAAUUUGAUAAGGAGGAAAGUGUUCGAGUAUGUCUUGAAUAGAUGUUUGAUGGCUCACUGCUUUAAUUGGUAUGCUUCUCAUGCUUGGGAGGCUGAUGAAAAAUGAAUACUUGGAGUCAGUGCAUGCCCCAAAAUAUCCAGGCAACACAGAACAGCUCAGUCCAAAAAUUAAACAAAAAAAGUUUGUAAAAGACAAUGUCUUUCUUUUUUAAAAAGCAUAUUAUGAUUCCACACAUAGUCAUCAAUUUCUAUAAAUCCAUGCCCAGGGAGAAAUGGCUAUAUUGAAGUUAUACAAGAAAAUGCAAGCAUGUCACCUACUUCCCAGGGAACAAUGCAUGCACCUGAUGUAAAAAGAGUCAAGAUAUUGCUCAAACUAAGCAUCAGGCAUAAGAUAUUUUCAAUUUCAUCAGAUUUGGAGUUUGUUACAAGAAAGUCUUUGCAAAAGGAAUUCAAAGGGAAAAAAAGUCCUUAGUUUUCUGUUUUGGGGAUUGGAGAGGGGGACACAAAUCAUUCUUUCAGGAUUGUAGAGGUCAGUAAAAGAAAUUAUCUCAGUAGAAAUCCCAUGUCCUUCUCAAUGCUACAUUUUUCUUUCCAAUGUAAGUGGUUAUAUCAAGACAGAAAUAUGAUUAAAGUCCUGGUAAACCUAGAAAUUAUAUUUGGCCUUAUAUUCUGUGUGUUUAUGUGCAUGAGUAUAUAGAUGUACAUGUGUGUUUGUAUACUUGUGUCUCAGUUUGCAUGUGUGUAUAUGUGAGAGUGGACAUGCAUGUUUGUGCACACAUGUGAAGGACAGUGGGCACUUUAGACCUUUCUUUGAGACAGGGUUCCUCUCAGGCCUGGAAUUUACCAAGUAAGCAAGGUUGAUUGGCUAGUAAGUCUCAGAAAUCUGCCCAUUUCCAUUUCUUCAGUGCUGGGAUCAUGAGUUUCAUUGCCUCAUCCAGAUUUUUCUCAAUGUGGGUUCUUGUGAUGGAUUUUAUGUUUAUGUUUAGAUUAGAACUAAAAUAAUCUCCUCGUUCCUGGCAAAAACAUGCUUUUUAAUUAGGAUAUAGUCGAUGUAGAAGAAAUGCAUUUGCCUAGAUAUUUCAAGAGGCAUUUUACAAAUGGGAAAAUGAAAGCCUCUCCCCAGUUUGUUGUGCUUGCAACUCCAGUACCCAAUGCACUUUAAACUCAUUGGCAUGCACACAAAACAUUCACUUAGGAAUGUAAAUUUAUGCAUGGCCAUGAGAGCAUGUGCACAUCUUGAAAUCAAUCUUGUUGUUCUGUUUGCUCCUUUGUUAACCAAAGGAAGAAAGUUAACAUGCUCAGAUCCUUGUAAGGGACCCACUGUAAAUGUUGUUUGCAUUCAGCUGUGAAAAGACAACUUUGCUUUAUUACAACAUUCAGUGGGUCUUCAACUGACCCAACAAAUUUACUUCCCUUUUACAUCUUGGCUGCUUCAAAACAAUAUUUCUUCAGUAGAUAGCACACCAGAGGGGACUAGGAAACACCUGUCUUUAUUUAACAAACUGAUACCUUGCAGUUAUCUUGUCUUCAGCAUAAAUGUAUUUGAAGGAGGUUAAUGGUGCCCAGUAGCACUGUUAUAAUUAAGAUCUUGCCACUGUUUUAUAACAAAUUGUAGGUUUCUACACACAAUCUGAAAAUGAUUUGUGAGGAGUUUGUUCUCUAGCAUAUGAAAGAUUUUUUAAAGGUACCAUCACUAAAUGUGCAUAUAAUGCGUGUGUGUGUGUGUGUGUGUGUGUGUGUGUGUGUGUGUGUGUGUGUGUACUCCUCACACAAACACAGGCACAGACAUAUACACAUAUCUAAUUUUAGCUAUAAGGAUAACUGUUUAGCAUGAUGCUGGUCACCUUAAAAUGUAUAUAAAAUAAACAAAUUCAGAGCAAAACAUUUGUUUUGAGUCAAGACAUCAGAGAUACCUGUCUCAGAGAGUAGAGAGGGCAUGAUACUAUAUAACAGUUCAUGCCAUGGAUGGUCCAGAUGUAGAGAGGGUGCAUAAAGACUCUAAAUUGACUUUCUCCUCUUUGCUUUUUCUUUUUUCCAGUCUGCCUACAGAAUGGGAUGUAUCUACCCACAUUCAGGGUGACUCUCCCCUGUCAGUUUAUCUCUUUAUGGCUAGUCCUUCACAAAAGAUACACUCAGACAUAUUCUUUAGAAAUAUCCUAGGAGACUUUAGGUUAAUUUGAAACAUUACACAAUUUUUGUUUUAUAAAUUAUAUUUAAAUUUGAACAAUCUAAUUUUGCAUAUCAAUCAUUGUUCCCUCUCCCUCCCAUUGUUCCCUCUCCCUCCCAUCUUCUCAUGAACCCCAUGGACCCCCCAUCCCAUUCCCCA